AGUCAAGCGUCUUGAGCGUCAUUUUGGCGAGCGGAUUUCUUUUGCCUGUUGAAAGGUGAAAGACA
rnacentral:sRNA from 1 species